rnacentral:rRNA from 1 species
GACGAACGCUGGCGGCGUGCCUAAUACAUGCAAGUAGAACGCUGAAGAGAGGAGCUUACUCUUCUUGGAUGAGUUGCGAACGGGUGAGUAACGCGUAGGUAACCUGCCUUGUAGCGGGGGAUAACUAUUGGAAACGAUAGCUAAUACCGCAUAACAAUGGAUGACACAUGUCAUUUAUUUGAAAGGGGCAAUUGCUCCACUACAAGAUGGACCUGCGUUGUAUUAGCUAGUAGGUGAGGUAAUGGCUCACCUAGGCGACGAUACAUAGCCGACCUGAGAGGGUGAUCGGCCACACUGGGACUGAGACACGGCCCAGACGCCUACGGGAGGCAGCAGUAGGGAAUCUUCGGCAAUGGGGGCAACCCUGACCGAGCAACGCCGCGUGAGUGAAGAAGGGUUUCGGAUCGUAAAGCUCUGUUGUAAGUCAAGAACGGGUGUGAGAGUGGAAAGUUCACACUGUGACGGUAGCUUACCAGAAAGGGACGGCUAACUACGUG